rnacentral:rRNA from 1 species
AUUGAACGCUGGCGGCGUGCCUAACACAUGCAAGUCGUACGUGAAAGGGUCUUCGGACCCGAGUAAAGUGGCGCACGGGUGAGUAACACGUGGAUAAUCUACCGGGAAGUGAGGAAUAACAGCUGGAAACGGCUGCUAAUACCGCAUGAGCUUCAUAUUUAUCUAUGAAGGAAAGGGGGCCUCUGCAUAUGCUUCCGCUUUUCGAUGAGUCCGCGUCCCAUUAGCUAGUUGGUGAGGUAACGGCCCACCAAGGCGACGAUGGGUAGCUGGUCUAAGAGGAUGAUCAGCCACAUUGGAACUGGAACACGGUCCAAACUCCUACGGGAGGCAGCAGUGGGGAAUAUUGCGCAAUGGGGCGAAAGCCUGACGCAGCGACGCCGCGUGAGGGAUGAAGGUCUUCGGGAUCGGUAAACCUCUGUCAGAAGAGAAGAACAAGCAUCGUU